UACACUCCUGCGGGAGGCAGCAGUGGGGAAUAUUGGACAAUGGGCGCAAGCCUGAUCCAGCCAUGCCGCGUGAGUGAUGAAGGCCCUAGGGUUGUAAAGCUCUUUCACCGGUGAAGAUAAUGACGGUAACCGGAGAAGAAGCCCCGGCUAACUUCGUGCCAGCAGCCGCGGUAAUACGAAGGGGGCUAGCGUUGUUCGGAUUUACUGGGCGUAAAGCGCACGUAGGCGGACUAUUAAGUCAGGGGUGAAAUCCCGGGGCUCAACCCCGGAACUGCCUUUGAUACUGGUAGUCUUGAGUUCGAGAGAGGUGAGUGGAAUUCCGAGUGUAGAGGUGAAAUUCGUAGAUAUUCGGAGGAACACCAGUGGCGAAGGCGGCUCACUGGCUCGAUACUGACGCUGAGGUGCGAAAGCGUGGGGAGCAAACAGGAUUAGAUACCCGAGUAGUCCCAU
rnacentral:rRNA from 1 species